rnacentral:rRNA from 1 species
UACGGAGGGUGCAAACGUUGCUCGGAAUCAUUGGGCGUAAAGCGCACGUAGGCGGUCCACUAAGUUGGAUGUGAAAGCCCCGGGCUCAACCCGGGAAGUGCAUACAAAACUGGUGGACUUGAAUAUGGAAGAGGGUCGCGGAAUUCCCGGUGUAGAGGUGAAAUUCGUAGAUAUCGGGAGGAACACCAGUGGCGAAGGCGGCGACCUGGGCCAAUAUUGACGCUGAGGUGCGAAAGCGUGGGGAGCAAACAGG